AAAAUAAGACAGGACUUUUCUUUCUGUCUUAAUGUAUAAGAAUUGCUGAAGGAAAGAAAAAUACUCAAUAUCUUAACUUGCUCAACUCGAGAUAUUGGGUAUUUUUUCUUGCUUUGUUUGAUUCUUGCUUUGUUUGAUUCCUAUCUAUUUUUUUUUCUUCUUCUUUAUUACCGAUUUAUGAUCGUUACUUUUUCUUGCAUCUCUCGCGAAAGUCCGAGUAGGCGCAAAUUCUCCCAAUUUGUGCCCUAUCAUAGAAUCCGUUAUAUAAAUAGGCAAAUGUUCCUUUCCAUUAUGAAUACCGAUUGUAUGGCCAACCAUUGGCGGGAUAAUGGUAGAUGCUCGAGACCAAGUGAUUAUUAUUUCCUCCCCCUUUUUUAUUUUUUGAAUUUUUUCCGAUAAAUGCUUAGCGACAAAUGUUUUUUUUGCUACAAAUCUUUUUUUUUCACGUAUCACAGCUGAUUAAUCCUUUUUUUUGAUUUGACAUGUUCAAGAUUGGCAUUCUAUCUCCAAUAUCUCGAUCUAAGUAUGGAGGUCCAAAUAAAUACAAUAAUGAGAAGGAAAAAAUC
rnacentral:misc_RNA from 1 species